CUCACCAUGUGAUGGAGCUGGAUCAUCCUCUUCCUGGUGACAGCAGCUACAGGUGUCCACUCCCAGGUCCAGCUGUUGCAGUCUGGGGCUGAGCUGGUGAAGCCUGGGUCCUCAGUGAAGCUGUCCUGCAAGACUUCAGGCUACACCUUCACCAGCUACUAUAUUGAGUGGGUGAAGCAGAAGCCUGGACAGGGCCUGAAGUGGGUUGGAAGAAAUGAUCCAGAAAAUGGUAAUACUAAAUAUGCUCAGAAGUUCCAGGUCAAGGCCACACUGACUGCAGACACAUCCUCCAGCACAGCCUACAUGGAGCUCAGCAGCCUGACAUCUGAGGACUCUGCUGUCUAUUACUGUGCAAGAGACACAGUGUUGCAACCACUUCCUGAGUGUGUCAGAAACCCUGGAGGGACAGGAAACUGCCCUGAGUCUGAUAGGACAGAGAAGAUUAGCCUGGGGAAUUACUCAGAAAUAUUCAGUCUGUGUGUCCCUUUGACUGCUCCUCAUCAUAGCACUAUAGUGACAUUGUCAACUUUUCCAAAGCAAUGGAUAUGUGGCAAUGAAGAGAUAUUGAUUCAACAUGCCCCUACAAUGCACCAUGCUUGA